rnacentral:rRNA from 1 species
CCUACGGGAGGCAGCAGUGGGGAAUAUUGGACAAUGGGGGGAACCCUGAUCCAGCCAUGCCGCGUGUGUGAAGAAGGCCCUCGGGUUGUAAAGCACUUUCAGUGAGGAAGAACGCCUGGUGGUUAAUACCCAUCAGGAAAGACAUCACUCACAGAAGAAGCACCGGCUAACUCCGUGCCAGCAGCCGCGGUAAUAUGGAGGGUGCGAGCGUUAAUCGGAAUUACUGGGCGUAAAGCGCGCGUAGGUGGCUUGAUAAGCCGGUUGUGAAAGCCCCGGGCUCAACCUGGGAACGGCAUCCGGAACUGUCAAGCUAGAGUGCAGGAGAGGAAGGUAGAAUUCCCGGUGUAGCGGUGAAAUGCGUAGAGAUCGGGAGGAAUACCAGUGGCGAAGGCGGCCUUCUGGACUGACACUGACACUGAGGUGCGAAAGCGUGGGUAGCAAACAGGAUUAGAUACCCGGGUAGUC